AUAAAUAGGGAGAGUUAGACAUCAAAAAUCAUUUUUUAGAUCCUGAAUCAAUUUCACAACUUUUUCCCUUUUCUCUCUCAAAGUUUCGGCCUCCUACCUUUGAAGCUGUGAAGGAAGCUUCAUCAUCUCCAUCACAUCCUUGUCAUAGCCUCCAUCUUCUUGAAGUUCAUCUUGCGUUCUUGAAGUUCUUCAAAAGUGGUUAUUUUUGGACACUCAUUCUGAGCGUAUCAGUGGCUGGGAAGCCUCUGGGAUUUGGAAGCCCAUCCCUAAGAUUAUCUGGAUUGCUCUGCGCAUUAGACUCAAGCCAGAAUGAAUCAGGGCCCAACCUAUCGGGUUUUGCUAAUUUGGUUGCACCUCCUCCAGUAGUCAAUUAUGAAGAACAAAGGUUGCCGUGUCAAUAACUUCACGAGUAUCAGCGAUUGCCUGCACGACGGAAUUGAUUAUUGUCUGGGCAGUUAUAAACUCCUCGAGAUUGAUUAUUGCCUGUGCUUCUAUAAUUGCUGGAUUGAAUAUCGCAUGUUCAAUAAUCUCGGGAUUGAUUAUUUCAUGUGCUGCAAUUAUUUGGACAAAAGAAUUUUGGAUCUGAGCCCUCGAUUCAUUGAUAUGACCUAUGCAUGCCCGAAUCAAUGGGACAUCGUGAUUUUGUUCCAAUAAACCCGCCCCUUCAUCGAAGUCCAACAUGGGAGCCAAUAAACUAUCUAUCACAAUAUUCAAUUCCAGAAUAAUUUGGUCAAGUGGAUUCUGACCUGCACCAUUAUUCAUUCUGAAAAGUUAUACUUUCCUUUUCAAAUCUAGAACGAUGCGGCUACUUGCGAAACCCUGACUGAAUGGCUUAAAUAGUAUACCGUAACUGAGUGACGUGGCCCAAUAAGAAAAAAUGUUAAACUAAAUGACAGUAAAAAGCCAAAUUCAAUUCAA